CAAAGGCUUGGUCCUAGCUUUGCUGUCGCCUGAAGCUAAACUUACACAUGCAAGUAUCCGCACCCCCGUGAGAAUGCCCUUAACCCUCUUAUGAGGUCAAGGAGCUGGUAUCAGGCACACUACUGUAGCCCAUAACACCUUGCUUAGCCACACCCCCAAGGGAGUUCAGCAGUGAUAUACAUUAAGCCAUGAGUGUAAACUCGACUUAGUUAAAGCUAAAAGGGCCGGUAAAACUCGUGCCAGCCACCGCGGUUAUACGAGAGGCCCAAGCCGACAGAAACCGGCGUAAAGAGUGGUUAAGACACAAAAGUAACUAAAGCUAAACCUCUUCAAGGCUGUUAUACGCACCCGAAGAUAUGAAAACCCACUACGAAAGUGGCUUUAAUAUUUCUGAGCCCACGAAAGCUACGAAACAAACUGGGAUUAGAUACCCCACUAUGCAUAGCCGUAAACAUUGAUAACAACUUACCCACAUAUCCGCCCGGGUACUACAAGCACCAACUUGAAACCCAAAGGACUUGGCGGUGCUUUAGACCCACCUAGAGGAGCCUGUUCUAGAACUGAUACCCCCCGUUAAACCUCACCCUCCCUUGUUAUUUCCGCCUAUAUACCGCCGUCGUCAGCUUACCCUAUGAAGGCCUUAUAGUGAGCACAACUGGUACAACCUUAAACGUCAGGUCGAGGUGUAGUAAAUGAGAGGGGAAGAAAUGGGCUACAUUCAUCUACUGAUGAACAACGGAUGAUUUAUUGAAAACAUAAACCUAAAGGAGGAUUUAGCAGUAAAAAGGAAAUAGAGUGUCCUUUUGAAAUUGGCCCUGAAGCGCGCACACACCGCCCGUCACUCUCCCCUAAUCUAACCAUAUAAUAACUAAUACAACAACUUAUUAAAGGGGAGGCAAGUCGUAACAUGGUAAGUGUACCGGAAGGUGCACUUGGAAUA
rnacentral:ncRNA from 1 species